AAUUUAUCGAUAAAUUAAUACCUCUUUAAAUUAAUAAAUUUUCUUGGUCCCGACAUUAUUAAUUUAUAGAGGAUUUAUAGAGGUUUUACUAUAUUUUUGUAAGCCAUGCGAUUAUGAAAGUCAAUAGAAGGAAAAAAAAAGAUUUGUGAAACCAAAACAAGUAUGCACAUCAAGUUUUCUUCAUGACAAGUUGACUUUAUAUUUUGUAGUUUGUUUAAGGUAUAUAUAUAUAUAUAUAUACACCACAAAAAAUAAGAUGGAAGACGUCGGUUUAUUAAUGUCACUUGUUAAACCGACUUUAAGAAUUUUAAUAGGAAGGGAUUUCACGUCAUUUAAUAAAACGACUUAAUUUUAAUUAGAAUGGCGUCACUUAAUAACCCUUGUAACUAUAGCCUGUUUUAAUCACCAAAUGUCAAUUAAGGUACGUUCUAAAUUUCUAAUGCCGCCGCAGCUUCCGUUGUAUUGUCCGUCGUACUCCGUCAGUGUAUUCCGAGCUGUUCUUCUGAUGAAAAGCCAUCGCAACUUUUUGUCAUAUUCUUCUGCUUCAUCCUCUAAAGAAUCGCUGGUUCUCUCAACAUCGUAUAUGGCUCUUCCUCGAUCUCUCGCAUUUUUCCCUUUUUCAAUGAUUCUUCUUCGUCUCCGGUGAGUGUUCUAUUAUUUGGUCUUCGAUUUAGGGAUUUGAUUUAGUUCUUAAAUGAAAUUGGAAUCAAUUUGGCGAUGAUUCAGUAGAAAGAUUUUGGAACUGUGUUUUCGUGCAUAGAAAUGGUGCUAGUAGUCGCAUUUGAGUUCAAUUUCUGGAUUUCAAAAAUUCUUCUUGACGUUACCGUGUUCUGCAUUCUGAUUCUUGGUUUAGUUGAGAACCUGAGGUAGAAGAUGUGAUGAGCUGCAUAGAGAUGCAAUAAAGAUGCUGAUUAUUGCUUUGGAUGCUAAAGCGAAUUCACGUUGCAAAGAAAUGCAU
rnacentral:sRNA from 1 species